rnacentral:rRNA from 1 species
CUCAGUACGGCGAGUGAAGCGGCAAAAGCUCAAAUUUGAAAUCUAGCACCUUCGGUGUUCGAGUUGUAAUUUGAAGAUGGUAACCUUGGGUUUGGCUCUUGUCUAUGUUCCUUGGAACAGGACGUCAUAGAGGGUGAGAAUCCCGUCUGAUGAGAUGCCCAUUCCUAUGUAAGGUGCUAUCGAAGAGUCGAGUUGUUUGGGAAUGCAGCUCUAAGUGGGUGGUAAAUUCCAUCUAAAGCUAAAUAUUGGCGAGAGACCGAUAGCGAACAAGUACAGUGAUGGAAAGAUGAAAAGAACUUUGAAAAGAGAGUGAAAAAGUACGUGAAAUUGUUGAAAGGGAAGGGCAUUAGAUCAGACUUGGUGUUUUACGAUUAUCUUCUCUUCUUGAGUUGUGCACUCGUAUUUCACUGGGCCAGCAUCGAUUCGGAUGGCAAGAUAAUGGCAGUUGAAUGUGGCUUCACUUCGGUGGAGUGUUAUAGCUUCUGCUGAUAUUGCCUGUCUGGAUCGAGGGCUGCGUCUUUUGACUAGGAUGCUGGCGUAAUGAUCUAAUGCCGCCCGUCUUGAACA